rnacentral:tRNA from 1 species
UAGCCUAGUGGUUAAGGCUCUGGAUCGCGAAUCCGAAGACGGCGGGUUCGAUUCCCGU